GGGCGUAUGGCCUAGUGGUAAGGCGUCUCAGUUGCAAAAAUGUUCGUUGCCUCGAAGCUGUUACAAGACAGGUGAAAGGGUUCCAAUGUACAAAUAUGCUCCAUGAGAAGAUCCCAGGUUCGAAUCCUGGUACGUCCA